rnacentral:rRNA from 1 species
CCUACGGGGGGCAGCAGUAGGGAAUAUUGCUCAAUGGGGGAAACCCUGAAGCAGCAACGCCGCGUGGAGGAUGAAGGUUUUCGGAUUGUAAACUCCUUUUGUUAGAGAAGAUAAUGACGGUAUCUAACGAAUAAGCAACGGCUAACUCCGUGCCAGCAGCCGCGGUAAUACGGAGGGUGCAAGCGUUACUCGGAAUCACUGGGCGUAAAGCGCGCGUAGGCGGGUUAGCAAGUCAGAUGUGAAAUCCUAUGGCUUAACCAUAGAACUGCAUUUGAAACUGUUAUUCUAGAGUAUGGGAGAGGUAGGUGGAAUGCUUGGUGUAGCGGUAAAAUCCAUAGAGAUCAAGAAGAAUACUCAUUGCGAAGGCGACCUGCUAGAACAUAACUGACGCUGAUGCGCGAAAGCGUGGGGAGCAAACAGGAUUAGAUACCCGGGUAGUC